rnacentral:rRNA from 1 species
GGCCACCUCCCAUCCGUGUCUAUUGUACCCUGUUGCUUCGGCGGGCCCGCCGCUUGUCGGCCGCCGGGGGGGCGCCUCUGCCCCCCGGGCCCGUGCCCGCCGGAGACCCCAACACGAACACUGUCUGAAAGCGUGCAGUCUGAGUUGAUUGAAUGCAAUCAGUUAAAACUUUCAACAAUGGAUCUCUUGGUUCCGGCAUCGAUGAAGAACGCAGCGAAAUGCGAUAACUAAUGUGAAUUGCAGAAUUCAGUGAAUCAUCGAGUCUUUGAACGCACAUUGCGCCCCCUGGUAUUCCGGGGGGCAUGCCUGUCCGAGCGUCAUUGCUGCCCUCAAGCCCGGCUUGUGUGUUGGGUCGCCGUCCCCCUCUCCGGGGGGACGGGCCCGAAAGGCAGCGGCGGCACCGCGUCCGAUCCUCGAGCAUAUGGGGCUUUGUCACAUGCUCUGUAGGAUUGGCCGGCGCCUGCCGACGUUUUCCAACCAUUCUUUCCAGGUUGACCUCGGAUCAGGUAGGGAUACCCGCUGAACUUAAGCAU